ACCUGACUGGCUCAGUUGGCAGAGUGUGUGACUCUUGAUCUCAGGGUUGUGAAUUCAAGUCCCACAUUUGGUA
rnacentral:tRNA from 1 species